GCUGGUCAGGCUGAGUGGAAAUUGACUUAACAGAUGAACUAACAUUUGACUUUUGGAAUGGUUGGCCUGGCUUGGCAUUUAGUGACAUUUGCCUUGUCACACAGAUGCAUUCAUAGGGCUGGAAGAGAAAAAAAUAAAUAAAACAAAAACGGGGGUGGACGAGUUUAAUUAUGUACUGACCACUCUUAUGGGACCUAUUAGCUAGCUGAUCUCCAGACAGCAGAGUGGACAGUGAAAGAUGUUGAAUUAAGUCAUGACAUGUCACUUAUUUCUCAAUUUCUCUUUCACAUAGGCUGCGCCGUUUAAUGAAGCUGUAAUGGAAACAAAAUGUAAAUGCGCAGUAUGCUCUUUUCUGAGUUUUCUCCAGAGACAUCAUGUAACUGCACAGCCCAGAAGACUGUGAAUGAGUCACUGACCUCAGCUUCAACACCGUAUUUAAACUGCACUUUGUUCUCCAUUGAUGGAGAUGUUUGCGUGAUGUUGAUCACUUCUGUCAUUAAAGUUCACCAAUCCUUUUUUCAUGUUAGCACACAUGAAAUGACCUAUGUGUGAAAAGGUGAAAGGUGUCAACGUUACUGAUCUGAUUGAGUCUGACUCCUUCAUCAUCCUUAUUUCCAGCAGCAAAGCUGCUACGUGCUGCAAGGUGCCUGCCAGUUAUUAAAGGGAGAGAAAAAACAUUAGCGGCUAGCAAAUAGCAGUGUAAUGCAACAUAACUUUUAGCUGCUUAAGGGCCAGAAUUGGUGAAACCUAAUUAGGUAUGGGAUGAAAGUAAAGACAAGAACUUCUUUUUUUCAGUUUUUUGAAUCAGGUAACUAAAAAAAAAAAAAUACAGCUCCAAACCAAUGCUAAAUCUUCUCUGUGUGGUGGACAUGACAAUCGAUGAUAACUUGCUAACCUAGCAAGCCAUAAAAAACAAACCAAACUAAACACAAGGAGCUAGAAAACAGCAAACACCGAAACCCAGAAAACAACCCCAAACAACCAAGAAAAGGUUCACAAAAGGUGCAGGCGGCCAGGAAAACAGUUCCGAAUAAGUUCAGGGGGCCGGCCCGGAGGACGACGGCCCAAGAGUCCAGACCCGGCCGGGCGGGAGGCACCGGCGGCGACGGAGCAGGUCAGGAGGCCAUCCAUGACGGGGAGGACGUCCAAUCAGAGGCCUGGAAGGAGGCGGGCGAUGUUGAGGCACAGGAUGUGGUGCAGGACCAGGCGAAGCUGAGGCAGGACCAGGCGAAGCUGAGGCAGGACCAGGCGAAGCUGAGGCAGGACCAGGCGAAGCUGAAGACUCGGAGGCUGGACCAGACGAGGAUGGCACUGCAGGCAACGAAGACUCGGAGGCUGGACCAGACGAGGAUGGCACUGCAGGCGACGAAACAGAUGGUGGUGCUGCAGGCGACGAAACAGAUGGUGGCGCUGCAGGCGACGAAACAGAUGGUGGUGCUGCAGGCGAAGGCGGCUGGACGGGCCCCUCGGACCCUCCAGCGGAGACGAACAAAGGCUGGUGCGGUUCUCCAGAACCCCCAGCGGGAACAGAAGGCUGGACGGGCCCCUCGGACCCUCCAGCUGAGGCAGAAGGCUGGACGGGCCCCUCGGACCCUCCAGCGGAGGCAGACGAAGGCUGGACGGGCCCCUCGGACCGGUGGAGUAAACGACUGAGGUGAAAACUGAGCAGGUGACUGAGCUGAUAGGUGAGCUAAAGUCUGAGCUAUAGAGAGAAGUUUAAUAUGUAUCGAUUGUUGUAAAGAUGGUAGCAAUGGUGGGUUAGGUGGUGGAUUAGCAGUAAGCUGAGCUAGUUCCCCUGAGCCUCAAGAACCUGAAGAAAACCGCUGGAUGGGCUCACCUGAGCCUCCAGCGAGGUCAGAAAUAGGUGCAGGUACCUGCCGGAUACCGGCCUCUCCCACCCGAGGAGAAGGUACGGGUGCCGCGACAGGCACCGGAGCAGGGACCAGCUGGACCUCAGCCUCCCUCACCUGAAGCACUGAAACAGGUGCAGGGGAAUACUGGGCCCGAGCUACCCUGGGAGCAGGAACACAACGGGGCGAAGGAGCGGGCUCAGCAAACACAGACUCCUCUACAAUGUUUUUUAGCUUCCUACCACCACCAUGUCUAAUAGUCUUAACAGUCUCAGUUUUAGCAGUGUUCAUAUGAUUGUCUUUUUCAAGCUCAGAGGAACGAAAGCAGUCAUAACUCACCACUGGGAGUUGUCCCGCAGAGAAAGAGUGGUGACGGUGUGAGCGCCGCCUCCUCCGGGAAGUGGGAGGUGGCAAACUGGGCUGCAAAUCCUCCAACGGACCGGGCUGCAAUGAGGAAUCAGAGAGUUUAUGAAGCUCAGAACGCUGCAGACCCAAAAACAGAGCGAAGGACUGCAGCGGAGUGAGUCUAACGUCCGGCGUCACAUAAUCCUUCUUCCUUCGCCGCUUAACCCUCUUGUCUGACUGGAAAUUGGAGGUGGAGGUGGAGGUGUAGUGACCGGAGAGAAUGAGCACGUGCUCAAUCUGAUCUUCCAAGGCAUAGGUGCUGGCUCGGCCGUAGCCAUGGUGGUUUGGAGGCUGCGGGGCCCUCCGAAAGCCAAACGAGACCCAUAGAAGGGUGACUGGAGCUCCUGGGCAUGCUUAGCCUCCUGCCUCACGCUCUCCUUGAGGAAGGCAGAAACUGCGGGUCGCCGAUAGCAUACGGAGUCUGCUGGGUCCAUGUUCUGGUCGCGAUCUUCUGUUAUGUGACGGCUGUGUGCAGGAAGGAAAGGGACCCAAAGUGCAGACUCCAGAGACAAACGUAAACUCAAACAGCUUUAAUGCUGAACUCCAACAGAACAAAAGUAAGAAUCCAAAUAACUUAUACAGGCAGCCAAAACACACAGCUAGAUAAGGGUAGAUAAGAGUAGAUCGCGACACAGACCAAAGAGAACACAGGGCUUAAAUACACAGAGGGAGCAAUCAGGAAAUGGGAGACAGGAGGGAAACACAGCUGGGGCAAAUCAGGGCUAACGAGACAAGGGAAGCAAAACCAGAUACACUAACAUGAAACACGGACUUUCAAAGUAAAACAAGAAACAUAACACAGAGACGCGAACUUAACAAGGGGAUACAGCCGACAGGGGAGACAGAGCAACUAUAGAACACAGAGACAUACACCAUAAAACAGAACUCUAAGAAACCAAAGACUAGAAAUGAUAAAUAAUAUAAUAAACUCAAAACCUCUGGGUCGACCCAGGCAUCCUAACAGUUCAAAGUCGAAAUGUCUAUUGCAUAGCAUUGCAUAAGUUUCAGCUAUAUACAGCUAUAGCUUGACUGCAGACGCCCGAUCCUAUUUUUGUGUCUUUAAAGUAUAUAAAGACUGAGCAACAUUCUGAUGAGCUGUCUGGUUUUGGACUCAAGGUUUUACUAAGAGCAAGGCUGAUUCUUAAGAUUGAUUUUUUUCCCUCUCUGAGAAUCUGAAAAUCGGAGUAAGC
rnacentral:lncRNA from 1 species